rnacentral:rRNA from 1 species
UACGGGGGGGGGCAAGCGUUGUUCGGAAUUACUGGGCGUAAAGCGCGCGUAGGCGGCUGGAUAAGUCGAUUGUGAAAGCCCCGGGCUCAACCUGGGAAUUGCAGUCGAGACUGUUCGGCUAGGAGUGUGGGAGAGGGCAGUGGAAUUCCCGGUGUAGCGGUGAAAUGCGUAGAUAUCGGGAGGAACAUCAGUGGCGAAGGCGACUGCCUGGCCCAACACUGACGCUGAGGUGCGAAAGCGUGGGUAGCAAACAGG